GGCCGCUGGAAGGCCGGGAAGUGACACCCGCUGUCACCCCCCAGGCGCUGCCCGACAGCAUGUGUGACACUGGUGGGACACCCCCAGAUGUCCUGGGGGUGCAAAGUUAGGCCACAAAGACCCCCAGAAGAACCUGAGGGAAGGCCCUGCUCAGCCUUGGAGUUUUUGGGGUGUCACCCCCUCCCAAAGCAUAACUCAUACCCCUUUGCAGCUGGGGAAACUGAGGCAGCCCCGUACAGGCCUGCAGACGGAUUCACCCGAAGUCGAGCCCAGCCCUUCAGCCCCCGCAAAUCCACCCUGGGCUGUCCGUGGCCCCCCCGCCCGGCGUGUCCGCUCCGGGGAGCAGCGGGCGCUGAUCGCGGCUGACAGCUGCUGCUCCGCGCCCGCCCGGUGCCUGCGCCCUGCCCGAGGGGCCGGCACGCACACGGGGGGCUCCUCGCCGCGCUCGGGGGCUCGGGGGGUCCCAGCCCCGCUGCUGCUGCUGCUGCUGCUGCCUCACGGACCCCGAUCCCGCCGCUCCCCGUCACGCCAUGAUCAUCCGCCCCCGGCGCCUGACCCCGGGGUAUUUCCGUCUGCUGCAGAUGCAGCUGGCCGCAGGACGUGGGGCUGAUCCGGGGGGACGGCUGCUGACCCCCCUGGCCCUGCUGCUGGCGGCCGCCGGACUCUGCCUGUCCCUCUACAGCGCCCGGAGAAUGGCUGACCCCGCUAAGGCCCCCCCGGAGCCGUGAGGAGGGGCUGGGGGGGUCGUGGGGACAGUCCCCGGGGGGUAUUGGGGGUCCCCCUGUACCCACCGGCCCCCGCACGAGCGGAGCUGCGGCUGCAGCCACCUCCCAGCCGAGCUGCGCCACAUCCAGCCCUUCCCACCACGCCUGGGCAAUGAUGGAUGCCCUGCCCUGGGAUGGGGGAUGAGCCUGUCCCCGCCUGUCCCCGCCUUGGGCAGCCGGGAUGGAGAACGGAGAAGCCGCUUCCAGCUCCGGAGCUGCCGGCUGAGCCCCUGGCCGAGCCACGGGGGGACAUCGGGAUCCAGAGGGAACCAGACCAGAGGCUGGACGGGCACACAGAGGGACGGCAGAGCAUCCAUCCCAUCCCCCGCAGCAGCAGAGGGGCCUGGGGACCCCCGUGGUGGCCACAGAGCCGCCCUGUCCCCAUGGGAACGUGCUGUGGCAGGAAUGAGGCCAGCGCCACGCGCCAUUAGGUAACGGGCAGGGGGGACACGGGGCCGUGACAUGUCCCCUGCGCUGGCACCUCCAGCUGGGAUGGCGCUGGGAUGGCGGCUGUGGCCUUCCCACCCCUGCUGAGCUGCAGCUCUCCAUCCCCCGGGGCCGGGGGGGAACAAAUCCGGGCAGGCUGCGUGGAAAUAAACCCUUCCCUACCCAGCA